CCUGCCCAUCACACAGGGAUAGGCUUGCGAAAGCAAGAUUAAUACCUGAUGGUCUCAAUUUUAUGCAUGUAUGAUUGAGUAAAGCCUUCGGCCGGUGAUGGAUGGCGGUGCGUCCCAUUAGGAAGUUGGCGGGGUAACGGCCCACCAAUCCUUCGAUGGGUAGGGGUUCUGAGAGGAAGGUCCCCCACAUUGGAACUGAGAUACGGUCCAAACUCCUACGGGAGGCAGCAGUGAGGAAUAUUGGUCAAUGGGCGAGAGCCUGAACCAGCCAAGUAGCGUGUGGGAUGAAGGCCCUUGUGGUCGUAAACCGCUUUUAUCAGUGAAUAAAGUGCACCACGUGUGGUGUCAUUGCAGGUAGCUGAAGAAAAAGGACCGGCUAAUUCCGUGCCAGCAGCCGCGGUAAUACGGAAGGUCCGGGCGUUAUCCGGGAUUAUUGGGUUUAAAGGGAGCGCAGGCGGGAGUAUAAGUCAGCUGUUAAAUAUCAGGGCCCAACUCUGUUAUGCAGUUGAAACUAUAUUUCUUGAGUACGCACAGGGAUGGCGGAAUUCAGGGUGUAGCGGUGAAAUGCUUAGAUAUCCUGAAGAACUCCGAUCGCGAAGGCA
rnacentral:rRNA from 1 species